rnacentral:rRNA from 1 species
CAACUUUCGACAACGGAUCUCUUGGCUCUCGCAUCGAUGAAGAACGCAGCGAAAUGCGAUAAGUAAUGUGAAUUGCAGAAUUCAGUGAAUCAUCGAAUCUUUGAACGCACCUUGCGCCCUUUGGUAUUCCGAGGGGCAUGCCUGUUUGAGUGUCAU